rnacentral:rRNA from 1 species
CGGUAAUUCCAGCUCCAAAAGCGUAUAUUAAAGUUGUUGCAGUUAAAACGCUCGUAGUCGGGUUUCGGGUCGGGCCGAGCGGUCUGCCGAUGGGUAUGCACUGUUUGGCGCGGCCUUCUUUCCGGAGACCGCGGCUACUCUUAACUGAGCGGGCGUGGGAGACGGAUCGUUUACUUUGAAAAAAUCAGAGUGUUUCAAGCAGGCAGCUCGCUCUUGCAUGGUACAGCAUGGGAUGAUUGAAUAGGACUCCGGUGCUAUUUUGUUGGUUUCAAACACCAGGAGUAAUGAUUAACAGGGACAGUCAGGGGCACUCGUAUUCCGUCGAGAGAGGUGAAAUUCUCAGACCAAUGGAAGACGAACCACUGCGAAAGCAUUUGCCAGGGAUGUUUUCACUGAUCAAGAACGAAAGUUAGGGGAUCGAAGACGAUCAGGUACCGUCGUAGUCUUAACCAUAAACCAUGCCGACUAGGGAUUGGAGGGUGUUCGUUUCGACCUCUUCAGCACCUUACGGGAAACUAAAGUCUUUGGGUUCCGGGGGGAGUAUGGUCGCAAGGCUGAAACUUAAAGGAAUUGACGGAAGGGCACCACCAGGAGUGGAGCCUGCGGCUUAAUUUGACUCAACACGGGGAAACUUACCAGGUCCAGACAUUGUUAGGAUUGACAGAUUGAGAGCUCUUUCUUGAUUCGAUGGGUGGUGGUGCAUGGCCGUUCUUAGUUGGUGGAGUGAUUUGUCUGGUUAAUUCCGAUAACGAACGAGACCGUAGCCUGCUAAAUAGUCCCGCGAACUUCUUGUUGGCGGCCGACUUCUUAGAGGGACAACUUGUGACCAACAAGUGGAAGUUUGCGGCAAUAGCAGGUCUGUGAUGCCCUUAGAUGUUCUGGGCCGCACGCGCGCUACACUGAAGCACUCAACGAGUCCACCUCGACCGACAGGUCUGGGAAACCUUUUGAAAUUGCUUCGUGAUGGGGAUAGAUUAUUGCAACUAUUAAUCUUCAACGAGGAAUUCCUAGUAAGCGCAUGUCAUCAGCGUGCGUUGAUUACGUCCCUGCCCUUUGUACACACCGCCCGUCGCUCCUACCGAUUGAAUGAUCCGGUGAGGCCCCCGGACUGGGGCGACGCAUUCGGUUCGCCGGACGCGACGCUCCGGGAAGCUGUCCAAACCUUAUUAUUUAGAGGAAGGAGAAGUCGUAACAAGGUAGCCGU